UUUCUUCGGUCAUUCUCGCGCACACGUAUUAUGCGACUUAAAGGAAGUGGCCUUACAAGAGAGUGAGGGGGGAGAGAGGAGAGUGAUGAUGAAGACGGGGAUUGGGACCUCCAAUUCGCUAUCAGUGGAGCAUGCUAUCGUCAUUGAAAGGGGAAGCUGCAAUGUCAAGCAAAGCAAACACCCUUUCCCUCUGCCAAAUAUCUCUCUACCCCCUCCCACCCACCACUUCAAAUACAAAAAGCAAGAGGAAUCAAGAAAAAAGUGGCAAACCCACAAAUCCCCCUACAUCAUCAUUAUCAAUCAUCGUCAUCAUCCCUUUGAUUUCUUUCUUCAAUCCCACCUACUGCCCACACCCACCACACCUCAUGUCCAAAACUCCCAAAAUUCCACUGGCCUUGGUUGCCAAUUUCACCCAAGAGUUGGGAAUUGCUGAAAACCCAGUUGUGAAUCUAUCCAAAGAUUGAAUCUUGGCAUGGAUUCUUUCAAUCAAGCAACUGGGUUUCGCUACAAUCCCAAUUCAGACACAGAAGGUGAUACCAAAUUCUCUGGGAUUCUUGAAAUCUAUGUUCACCAUGCUAGGAACAUUCACAACAUAUGUAUUUAUGAAAAGCAAGAUGUAUAUGCAAAAUUCGCUCUCACUUAUAACCCAGAUGAGACCCUCUCCACUAGGAUCAUCAACGGUGGCGGCAAAAACCCCGAGUUCAAUGAGAAUCUGGUCGUGAAAAUUGCCCAAAUCGACGCGGUCCUCAAAUGUGAGAUUUGGAUGCUUAGUAGGGUUAAGAAUUAUAUGGAAGAUCAGCUUUUGGGGUUUGCUUUGGUCCCAAUCUCUUCAGUUGUUGGUAAAGGAAAAGUCACCCAAGAUUAUAGCUUAUCUUCCACUGACUUGUUCCAUUCCCCAGCUGGAACUGUCAAAUUGUCCCUUUCUUUGAUCACCAAUGCGUUACUUGAUCCUUCUAUCAAUUCAUUCGCGGAUUCUGUAUCCAAUUCUUCGAUAACUUCUGAGGUUGUUUUGUUGGAUAGGAAGAUUUCAGACGUGGGUUUGGAUCCAGUAGAGUAUUCUAGGCUCGAAUUUCCUGAUAUCAAUGUGGUUAAAGAGAAUCAACAGAUGGUUUCUCAGUAUUUCGAAUUAUCAGGGUCAUUUCUUCAUCUUGGUGUUUCUAAUAAUCCAGUUGAAGACUACGAAAUGGCUGCGAAUUCAUCUGAGGAGAACCGUGGGGAAUCGGUUUCUCCCAAUGGAAGUAUUCAGAAUUCUGGUUUCCUUAGUUCUACUAUGACAAGCUUGAGUGAUGAUAGAAACUCAGCUGAUUCAUUGGAUAAAAAGAAUCAGUUGGUUGGGGAGUUAUUAAACUCCCCAAAUGCAUCGAUCACCACUGAAGCUAAUCGGAGCCCGGCUGCUUGUCCAGAUACUCCGACUUCAAAGAAGGGAAGUGAUGUGAGAGAGGAGAAGGAGGACAGAGUUUCGGACAAGGAAGAGGGCGGAAAGAAAGAAGGUCAUAGGGCUUGUGUCAAAUUUGGUCAAGUUUUUUCUGCUCCACAUGGGAGUAUCAAUAUUGAGGCGGAGCAGUCCGCAAUGCAACAACAAAUAGUUGACAUGUACAUGAGGAGCAUGCAACAGUUCACAGACUCUUUGGCAAAAAUGAAGCUCCCAAUGGAUCUUGAUAAACCAGAAAAUGAAGACGGUGGAGAUCUGAUCCAAAACAAUGAUGACAGUGUGGAUGUUGAGAAGAAGAAAAAAGAUGGUUCAAGGGUGUUUUACGGUAGCCGGGCUUUCUUCUGACUGGUUGGUAUGCAGAUUAAAUGCAGUGCUGUCACACAACUUUCUCUGGGAAAAAGAAAUAUCGUUUGUACAACUUGUAUUACAGAUUGGAGUAUUAUCAGUAUCUGGAUAUCAAUCUCUAAGUUCUUGUGUCCAAUUUAUGUCAUCUGAGAUGAUUUUUUGGCACCAUAUAAAGUACAGGACAUAUCUGGAUUAAAUCUCUGAGGAUUGUGUUUGUCUUGGCUCCACAAAUGGUAACAUAAGACUUCAUUCUUUCAGUCUUGUUUAACUCCUUUUUCGGUGAUUAAGAGCAUAGUUCCUUUGGAUUGUCAACUGUUCUGUUGAUCUCAUAACUAAGUACUUGCUCCUCUGUGAAGGUGUUUUAGUUUUAUUGCUUUUGUCAAGUUGUUCUGUAGUGUAAGAUCACUGUUUGGAUUGUUGGUAGUGCUUGUUUUAAACUGUGCAAAAUGUUGUUACUGUG